UACGUAGGGAGCAAGCGUUGUCCGGAAUCAUUGGGCGUAAAGGGCGCGUAGGCGGCCGUCCAAGUCGGGUGUGAAAUCCCUCGGCUCAACCGGGGAACUGCGUCCGAUACUGGCGAGGCUUGAAUCCGGGAGAGGGAUGUGGAAUUCCAGGUGUAGCGGUGAAAUGCGUAGAUAUCUGGAGGAACACCGGUGGCGAAGGCGGCAUCCUGGACCGGUAUUGACGCUGAGGCGCGAAAGCCAGGGGAGCAAACGGG
rnacentral:rRNA from 1 species